rnacentral:rRNA from 1 species
AAUGAACGUUGGCGGCGUGGAUUAGGCAUGCAAGUCGUGCGGAAAGGCUCCUUCGGGAGUACUCGAGCGGCGUAAGGGAGAGUAACGCGUGGAUAUCUACCCCCUGGACUGGGAUAGCGGCGGGAAACCGCCGGUAAUACCAGAUAAUGUCUGCGGACCAAAGGUGUGAUUCCGCCGGGGGAUGAGUUCGCGUCCUAUUAGCUAGUUGGUAGGGUAAUGGCCUACCAAGGCAAAGAUGGGUACCGGGUGUGAGAGCAUGGCCCGGCUCACUGGGACUGGGACACUGCCCAGACACCGACGGGUGGCUGCAGUCGAGAAUCUUCGGCAAUGGGCGCAAGCCUGACCGAGCGACGCCGCGUGCGGGAUGAAGGCCUUCGGGUUGUAAACCGCUGUCAGAGGGGAGGAAAUGCGUGAGAGUUCUCUCUCACGUUUGACCUAUCCUCAGAGGAAGUACGGGCUAAGUUCGUGCCAGCAGCCGCCGUAAAAC